rnacentral:rRNA from 1 species
UUGGAAACGACUGCUAAUACCCGAUAAGCCGAAAGGUGAAAGAUUUAUCGCUUAGAGAGGGGCUUGCGUCUGAUUAGCUAGUUGGUGGGGUAAAAGCCUACCAAGGCGACGAUCAGUAGCUGGUCUGAGAGGAUGAGCAGCCACACUGGGACUGAGACACGGCCCAGACUCCUACGGGAGGCAGCAGUGGGGAAUUUUCCGCAAUGGGCGAAAGCCUGACGGAGCAAUACCGCGUGAGGGAGGAAGGCCUUUGGGUUGUAAACCUCUUUUCUUAAGGAAGAAGUUCUGACGGUACUUAAGGAAGAAGCAUCGGCUAACUCCGUGCCAGCAGCCGCGGUAAUACGGAGGAUGCAAGCGUUAUCCGGAAUCAUUGGGCGUAAAGAGUCCGUAGGUGGUUAGACAAGUCUGCUGUCAAAGGAUGGGGCUUAACCUCAUAAAGGCAGUGGAAACUGUAAAACUAGAGUGCGGUAGGGGUAGAGGGAAUUCCCAGUGUAGCAGUGAAAUGCGUAGAGAUUGGGAAGAACACCAGUGGCGAAAGCGCUCUACUGGGCCGAAACUGACACUGAGGGACGAAAGCUAGGGGAGCGAAAGGGAUUAGAUACCCCUGUAGUC